rnacentral:rRNA from 1 species
UACGAAGGGGGCUAGCGUUGUUCGGAAUCACUGGGCGUAAAGCGCACGUAGGCGGAUGUGUCAGUCAGGGGUGAAAUCCCGGAGCUCAACUUCGGAACUGCCCUUGAUACAGCACGUCUUGAGUCCGAGAGAGGUGGAUGGAAUUCCUAGUGUAGAGGUGAAAUUCGUAGAUAUUGGGGAAGAACACCGGUGGCGAAGGCGGCGCUCUGGACCGAGGACUGACGCUGAGGCGCGAAAGCG